GGCUCAGAUUGAACGCUGGCGGCAUGCCUUACACAUGCAAGUCGAACGGCAGCACGGGGCAACCUGGUGGCGAGUGGCGAACGGGUGAGUAAUGCAUCGGAACGUGCCAUUGAGUGGGGAUAACGUAGCGAAAGUUGCGCUAAUACCGCAUAUUCUGUGAGCAGGAAAGCAGGGGACCGCAAGGCCUUGCGCUCUUUGAGCGGCCGAUGUCAGAUUAGCUAGUUGGUGAGGUAACGGCUUACCAAGGCGACGAUCUGUAGCGGGUCUGAGAGGAUGAUCCGCCACACUGGAACUGAGACACGGUCCAGACUCCUACGGGAGGCAGCAGUGGGGAAUUUUGGACAAUGGGCGCAAGCCUGAUCCAGCCAUGCCGCGUGAGUGAAGAAGGCCUUCGGGUUGUAAAGCUCUUUCGGCCGGGAAGAAAUCGCAUGGGUUAAUACCCUGUGUGGAUGACGGUACUGGAAUAAGAAGCACCGGCUAACUACAUG
rnacentral:rRNA from 1 species